rnacentral:rRNA from 2 species
AUUGAACGCUGGCGGCAUGCUUUACACAUGCAAGUCGAACGGUAACAGGGAGCUUGCUCCGCUGACGAGUGGCGAACGGGUGAGUAAUGCAUCGGAACGUGCCUAUUUGUGGGGGAUAACGUAGCGAAAGUUACGCUAAUACCGCAUACGCCCUGAGGGGGAAAGCGGGGGAUUCGUAAGAACCUCGCGCAAUUAGAGCGGCCGAUGUCGGAUUAGCUAGUUGGUGGGGUAAAGGCUCACCAAGGCGACGAUCCGUAGCGGGUCUGAGAGGAUGAUCCGCCACACUGGGACUGAGACACGGCCCAGACUCCUACGGGAGGCAGCAGUGGGGAAUUUUGGACAAUGGGCGAAAGCCUGAUCCAGCCAUGCCGCGUGAGUGAAGAAGGCCUUCGGGUUGUAAAGCUCUUUCAGCCGGAAAGAAAUCGCGCAGGCUAAUACUCUGCGUGGAUGACGGUACCGGAAGAAGAAGCACCGGCUAACUACGUG